CGAGCCCUGCAAUCUGGUCCAGCGUCCAUGCAGGGGCUUGAUCCAGUAGAGCUUCCUGCAUAUGUCAAUACGGAUUUGAGUAUCCAGAGAGUCAGCUGCGUUCCAGUUGCUUCAAUCACUUGCAAAUCUGCUGCAGCUUGAAAGCAAGGAGAGGAGUACCGCAGGUUACCACUCUUAAUCCUUUGCGUCUGCGCAUUCUCACGUAAGUGUGGCUGUACUGAGGUGGACACCUCGUGAACGCGAGACACCUUCUCCUCGACUCAGGAGCUUGCAAGCAGCUGUGUUGCUGGAAAGAGAAGCUUGCCAUCUGUAUACUGUGAUGGCGAAGAAAAUACUACAGAUCGACGAACUUCGGUAUUUUUUGCUCAAAAUUAUAUCUCAAGCUUUCUGCGCUGUUGAUUUGCAGGAAUACAUUUCGAUGAGGCACACUUUGGUUCGAAGGCAGCGAUCAAUGUGAUGCGUCUCACUGACCUCAUCUAGACAACCUUUGCAACAAAUUCUCAAAGAUUUUGAUCGUUUCACACCUCAAAGUUCGCUU
rnacentral:lncRNA from 1 species